rnacentral:rRNA from 1 species
GUGAAGCGGAGAAAAGCUCAAAUUUGAAAUCUGUGUCCGGGUAACCGGGUCAUGAGUUGUCAUUUGAUGAGGCAAGUUUGGUGGGCGCCUGGGUCAAAAUCCUUUGGAAAAGGGUAUCAUAGGGGGUGACAAUCCCGUCUGUGACUCAGUCAGCGGUCUAUCUUGUAAACUGCCUUCAAAGAGUCGGGUUGUUUGGGAAUGCAGCCCUAAGCUGGGGGAAAAUUCCAUCUAAGGCUAAAUAUUCGUGAGAGACCGAUAGCGAACAAGUACCGUGAGGGAAAGUUGAAAAGCACUCUGGAGAGAGAGUCAAACAGCACGUGAAAUUGUUAACAGGGAAACGUUGGGCCCCAGUACGCGCCUCGCGUAAAAUCAACCAUCUCUUCCCCUAGGGUAUCCGCGUCGGGUGGAUGAAUCCUUAAUAAGGGUCAUUAUUCGGUCGGUGCCCGAGGGGGGUGGUGCACUUUUGCGUGGGCGGGUCAACGUCAGUUAGGACCACCGGAAAAUCCUGGAAGGAAUGUUGGCGAAGGAAACGGACCCACUUAUAGCCUUCUUUGAAAGCGGUGAUCUUGACUGAKGAGUCGCGGCCUUAUCAUAUGAUGAGGGUGUCUCUCUUUCCCCCAGGGUAAGACAGCUUGCUGACUUGACUUGGUAAGGGAGGGGACCACGCCUUUAUCUGGUGAGGUUACGGACGUUGGCGAAAUGGAUCUCAACGACCCGUCUUGAAACACGGACCAAGGAGUCUAACAUGUGUGCGAGUAUUUGGGUGCAAAACCCGAAUGCGUAAUGAAAGUGACCGCAGGGGAGAAGGGUGACCCUUUCGGGGGUCACUCCRCAUCCUCGACCGAUCCGAUUGCCCUCUGUGGCGACGGGUUGAGUUUGAGCAUAUCUGUUAGGACCCGAAAGAUGGUGAACUAUACCUGAGUAGGAUGAAGCCAGAGGAAACUCUGGUGGAGGUCCGUAGCGAUUCAACGUGCAAAUCGAUCGUCGAACUUGGGUAUAGGGGCGAAAGACUAAUCGAACCAUCUAGUAGCUGGUUCCGUUUCGAAGUUUCCCUCAGGAUAGCAGAAACGCGUUAACAGUAUUAUGAGGUAAAGCGAAUGAUUAGAGGCCUUGGGGGCGGAAUGCCCUUAACCUAUUCUCAAACUUUAAAUAUGUAAGAAGUCCUUUCCACUUAACUGGGCAUGGAAGUUGUUGUAUGAACGUUUCCAGUGGGCCAUUUCUGGUAAGCAGAACUGGCGAUGUGGGAUGAACCAGACGGGAGGUUAAGGUGCCGGAACGUACGCUCACGUAGAACCACAAAAUGUGUUGGUUCAUCUAGACAGCAGGACGGAAGCCAUGGAAGUCGGAAUCCGCUAAGGAGUGUGUAACAACUCACCUGCCGAAUGAACUAGCCCUGAAAAUGGAUGGCGUUCAAGCCUACUACCCAAACCUCCCCACCACGGGUCAAUACGAUGCCCUCGCGAGUAGGCGGGCGUGG